UGCUCACUCACCUUUCUCCUAAUUUUGCAAUUGGAUAGGCCUGCACGAUCUCCCUUGUCGUCCUGCUAUGAGCCCUAUACAAAACAGAAGUACACUUAAU
rnacentral:lncRNA from 1 species